rnacentral:rRNA from 1 species
UACGUAGGGUGCAAGCGUUGUCCGGAAUUAUUGGGCGUAAAGAGCUCGUAGGCGGUCUGUCGCGUCGGCUGUGAAAUCCCGAGGCUCAACCUCGGGUCUGCAGUCGAUACGGGCAAACUAGAGUAUUGCAGGGGAGACUGGAAUUCCUGGUGUAGCGGUGAAAUGCGCAGAUAUCAGGAGGAACACCGGUGGCGAAGGCGGGUCUCUGGGCAAUAACUGACGCUGAGGCGCGAAAGCCGGGGGAGCAAACAGG